rnacentral:rRNA from 3 species
GGGUUGUGAGGUUAAGCGACUAAGCGUACACGGUGGAUGCCCUGGCAGUCAGAGGCGAUGAAGGGCGUGCUAAUCUGCGAUAAGCGCCGGUAAGGUGAUAUGAACCGUUAUAACCGGCGAUACCCGAAUGGGGAAACCCAGUGUGAUUCGUCACACUAUCAUUAACUGAAUCCAUAGGUUAAUGAGGCGAACCGGGGGAACUGAAACAUCUAAGUACCCCGAGGAAAAGAAAUCAACCGAGAUUCCCCCAGUAGCGGCGAGCGAACGGGGAGGAGCCCAGAGCCUGAAUCAGCAUGUGUGUUAGUGGAAGCGUCUGGAAAGGCGCGCGAUACAGGGUGACAGCCCCGUACACAAAAGCGCAUGUGCUGUGAGCUCGAUGAGUAGGGCGGGACACGUGGUAUCCUGUCUGAAUAUGGGGGGACCAUCCUCCAAGGCUAAAUACUCCUGACUGACCGAUAGUGAACCAGUACCGUGAGGGAAAGGCGAAAAGAACCCCGGCGAGGGGAGUGAAAAAGAACCUGAAACCGUGUACGUACAAGCAGUGGGAGCCCCACCACUAAGCCAGUGGUGAACUCCACAUACGCAUCCUUUGCUGAGGAUACGGUUAACGGAGCGAAAGCGACGUUCAACCUCAAAAGAAGCAGAGGGGGCUUAGUGGUGGGGUGACUGCGUACCUUUUGUAUAAUGGGUCAGCGACUUAUAUUCUGUAGCAAGGUUAACCG